AUUACAUGAUGAGGGCAUUUCCGAAGAAGUUCCUUAAAUCUCUCCCAAACAUUUGAGACUGCUUCAUCACCCCUUGCUGAAACAUCAAAAUUUCAUUUCUAAAUUU